rnacentral:lncRNA from 1 species
GUGAGGGCAACUGCUACAAGCUGAGAACCACAGAGUAAAAUAUGAAUGUUUCCGGUGUGAAAGGACUAGUUUGUUUUCAACCCACCUUCUCAUGGAACCAACUAGGAAAUCUAGGUUUACAUCAUCAUUUUCAAUGGAAAGGAUUCCAUUUGGUUUUCAAACUUUAACCUACACCAAAUGUGAACGCGUUUGAGAAUUUGAACUGAAUUGUUUAAGCCAUUUUUGAGUUACGUGAAGUGGAUGCAAUUUGAAUGUGGUGAAGUCUCCGAAGGGUGCUGUCCCUGUCAAUGAAAUAAGAAGCGGCUAGCUGAUGUAGCGUCUCCA